GAUGAACGCUGGCGGCGUGCCUAAUACAUGCAAGUCGAGCGAACAGACGAGGAGCUUGCUCCUCUGACGUUAGCGGCGGACGGGUGAGUAACACGUGGAUAACCUACCUAUAAGACUGGGAUAACUUCGGGAAACCGGAGCUAAUACCGGAUAAUAUAUUGAACCGCAUGGUUCAAUAGUGAAAGACGGUUUUGCUGUCACUUAUAGAUGGAUCCGCGCCGCAUUAGCUAGUUGGUAAGGUAACGGCUUACCAAGGCAACGAUGCGUAGCCGACCUGAGAGGGUGAUCGGCCACACUGGAACUGAGACACGGUCCAGACUCCUACGGGAGGCAGCAGUAGGGAAUCUUCCGCAAUGGGCGAAAGCCUGACGGAGCAACGCCGCGUGAGUGAUGAAGGUCUUCGGAUCGUAAAACUCUUUUAUUAGGGAGGAACAAAUGUGUAAGUAACUAUGCACGUCUUGACGGUACCUAAUCAGAAAGCCACGGCUAACUACGUG
rnacentral:rRNA from 1 species